AACAACCCAGAAUCGUGUGGGUGAGACCCUGCGUGCAGGUUCGAGCCGAGCGAAGCGAGACAGCAACGCGUCAGCGUUGACCCGAAGGGCGAGGCCAGAGGCCGAGUCAUCCCGCACGGCCCACCA
rfam:Yersinia mollaretii ATCC 43969 contig00523, whole genome shotgun sequence.